rnacentral:rRNA from 1 species
AUACGAAGGGGGCUAGCGUUGUUCGGAAUUACUGGGCGUAAAGCGCGCGUAGGCGGAUUGGUCAGUUAGGGGUGAAAUCCCAGGGCUUAACCCUGGAACUGCCUCUAAUACUGCCAGUCUUGAGUUCGGGAGAGGUGAGUGUAAUUCCUAGUGUAGAGGUGAAAUUCGUAGAUAUUAGGAAGAACACCAGUGGCGAAGGCGGCUCACUGGCCCGAUACUGACGCUGAGGCGCGAAAGCGUGGGGAGCAAACAGGAUUAGAAACCCUAGUAGUCC